rnacentral:lncRNA from 1 species
UUUCUUCUUCUUUUCUUUAAUUUAUUUUUAAACAGAAUAAAUUUUGAAAGCAUUAAAGAUGUUGUUUAAAAUUCCUAGGUUAUUAGUUAAUAAUUGUUUUUAUGUUUUCAACUUAUCCCUCAUUGAAAAACCCAACAGCCAAGCGGCUGGGUUUAACUACUGGUAGUCCAACAGACUUUUUUUAUUUUAGUUUUUAUUCUAAUGUUUAAUCUAUCUUAGUUUAUAUAUUUAAAGUAACAUCAAAAUAAUAAAAAACCAUGAGUGGUCUGGUGGAGAAGGGUAGUAUCAUAGUCUUGAGUGGGGUGGGUUCAAUACUCAUGUGUAGCAUUUUUUUUUAGUAUUUUAUUUUUCUUUUAGCAUUUUAUUUUCUUUUAGUAUUUUAUUUCUUUUAACAUUUUUU